rnacentral:rRNA from 1 species
AGUGAACGCUGGCGGUAGGCCUAACACAUGCAAGUCGAACGGCAGCACAGUAAGAGCUUGCUCUUACGGGCGGUGAGUGGCGGACGGGUGAGGAAUACAUCGGAAUCUACUUUUUCGUGGGGGAUAACGUAGGGAAACUUACGCUAAUACCGCAUACGACCUACGGGUGAAAGCAGGGGAUCUUCGGACCUUGCGCGAUUGAAUGAGCCGAUGUCGGAUUAGCUAGUUGGCGGGGUAAAGGCCCACCAAGGCGACGAUCCGUAGCUGGUCUGAGAGGAUGAUCAGCCACACUGGAACUGAGACACGGUCCAGACUCCUACGGGAGGCAGCAGUGGGGAAUAUUGGACAAUGGGCGCAAGCCUGAUCCAGCCACACCGCGUGGGUGAAGAAGGCCUUCGGGUUGUAAAGCCCUUUUGUUGGGAAAGAAAAGCAGCAGGUUAAUACCCCGCUGUUCUGACGGUACCCAAAGAAUAAGCACCGGCUAACUUCGUG